CAUCUGUCGGCCUUGUGAUGUUGACACAUUGGAACCAUAUGGAGAUGAGUACGGCCCCCACGCAAGGAUGACCCGCAAAUUCAUGAAGUGUUCCAUAUUUUA